CAUAUACUGUGAGUAGGCUCUUUUACAACCAUGAUUUCGACGAAGUGAAUGUUUUCAAAACAAGUCUGCUUGCAAGUGAUGUUGAGGUAAGUGAGUCAAGUAGCCUUGGUUUCAUGACCAAAUCUGUGGAAGAAGAAUUUUUGGAGAGUAAAGAUUUUUACAACAUUUCAGAUGUAUUUGCGAUAUCUGAGGUUAGCAAAGUCAUUGUUCUUGGAACCAUUAUGGGAAUUUACAAGGAUGAAGGGUGGUUCUAUGAUGGCUGUAACAGGUGUAACAAAAAGAUAAACAAAGAACCUGUUUUCAUUGAUGAAGCGAAAGAA